rnacentral:rRNA from 1 species
UCCGUAGGUGAACCUGCGGAAGGAUCAUUACAAAUGGUUUAUACCACACACUACUUGUGCAUUACGUUGCUGGUUGCCUCUCUGCCUGCGGGGAGGCAGCCGAUAUUAAUUUACACUUUUGAUUACCAGUCUUGAAUCUUUGAUUACAAGCUUUCAAGCCUUUACGGGCAUGGGAGUGUUGGAUCAACUAAGGGUUAAAAACUUUUAGCAACGGAUCUCUAGGCUCUCGCAGCGAUGAAGAACGCAGCGAACCGCGAAAUGUAAUGUGAAUUGCAGAGUUCGUGAAUCAUCAAAUUUUUGAACGCACAUUGCACUGUUUGGAAUUCCAGGCAGUAUGUCUGUUUGAGUAUCUGUUCAUUAUCCAUCUGACCAGGCUUCUUCGGAGGGCUGCUAGGAUGGGACAUGGGUGUCGGUGCUGAAUGGCGCGUCACCUUAAAUGAAUAUCCGCAUCCUGUAUGGGACGCGGAGCUUACUCAUUGCUUGCAAUUGAAGAACACUUUUUCAAUGCGUCAAAGGGCAAUCGAGGCAGCGAGUGACUAACUCUUCCCUAGGGCCGGAGCGUGUCCUCAACUCAUGAUCUCAAAUCAGACAAGAUUACCCGCUGAACUUAAGCAUAUUAAUAAGCGGAGGAAAAGAAACCAACAGGGAUUCCCUUAGUAAUGGCGAAUGAAGCGGGAAUAGCUCAAAUUUAAAAUCUCCUUGGAGAAUUGUAGUUUGUAGAGGCUGAUUCGACGGCAGUCCUGACACAAGUCCUCUGGAAUGGGGCAUCAUUGAGGGUGAGAAUCCCGUAAAUGGUCAGGAUACUGCCGCGUAUGAAUCGCUUUCAAAGAGUCGGGUUGUUUGGGAAUGCAGCCCAAAGUGGGUGGUAUAUUCCAUCUAAAGCUAAAUAUUGGCGAGAGACCGAUAGCAAACAGGUACCGUGAGGGAAAGAUGAAAAGAACUUUGAAAAGAGAGUUAAAAGUACGUGAAAUUGCUAAAAGGGAAACGCUUGAAGU